UCUGGAGAUGUGCUGGGGGCUAGUGGAGAUGACCAGCUGGAGAUUCGGCUCCUUGGAGAGACAGUGGUUGGCUAGACCUGAGCUCCAGAGGAAGGUGUUGGCACAGGCUGGAAAAAAUGUCUUCUCCUGACCUGGAGGAGGGACACUUGGAACAAAAAGGAAAUAUUGCUCUGAUCUCACCAAAAGGAGACUGAAAGACCGCCAACCAGGGACAGGAGCUUCCUGAGUAGGAGCUGAGGCCUCUGUGCGGCAAUUUAGUGAGAGCAUAGCCGGUCAUCAACUUCUGGUUGGGCAAAGAGAACAAGAGACAUGUCCAAGUUCAGCCUCAGGAACCACCUUGGAUGGCAGAAGCUGGCCCUCGAAGCUUCCCUAACAAAUAACAGCAAUUCUCGAGAGUCCUCAUACACACAAGAUAAUGCUUUAGCAGUCAACAGGGGCUCUCAACUCUGAAAUAAAUGACGUCCACUUGGUCACUCUUCCUACAAUCUAUACACUUCUUUGAAACAUACAGACACAUCCAUACUCUGAAACAAGACUCAUGCUGGUAAAAAAAGAAAAAAAAAAAAAAGGAGAAAGGGGCUUGAUAUUUAGGACAAAGGGGUGGGAGCUCCCUGUGAACGACAUCACACAAGAGAAGGUAUGGAGGAGGAA